rnacentral:pre_miRNA from 1 species
UACGUCUUGCUGGAGAAGCAGGGCACGUGCAACAUCUCUCAAGCUUCCCCUAGCUAAUGAUUCUGCACGUGCUCUCCUUUUCCAGCUUGAUUUU